rnacentral:rRNA from 1 species
UACGUAGGGUCCGAGCGUUGUCCGGAUUUACUGGGCGUGAAGAGCGCGCAGGCGGUCGUUCAAGUCGAGUGUGAAAGCCCCCGGCUCAACUGGGGAGGGUCAUUCGAUACUGAUCGACUCGAAGGCAGGAGAGGGAAGCGGAAUUCCCGGUGUAGUGGUGAAAUGCGUAGAUAUCGGGAGGAACACCAGUGGCGAAGGCGGCUUCCUGGCAUGUUCUUGACGCUGAGGCGCGAAAGCUAGGGGAGCAAACGGG